rnacentral:rRNA from 1 species
UUGAUCUCAAAAUCAGGUAGGACUUACCC